CAGCAGCCGCGGGAAUACGUAGGUGGCAAGCGUUGUCCGGAAUUAUUGGACGUAAAGGGCUCGCAGGCGGUUUCUUAAGUCUGAUGUGAAAGCCCCCGGCUCAACCGGGGAGGGUCAUUGGAAACUGGGAAACUUGAGUGCAGAAGAGGAGAGUGGAAUUCCACGUGUAGCGGUGAAAUGCGUAGAGAUGUGGAGGAACACCAGUGGCGAAGGCGACUCUCUGGUCUGUAACUGACGCUGAGGAGCGAAAGCGUGGGGAGCGAACAGGAUUAGAUACCCGCGUAGUCCCUGUCUCUUAUAC
rnacentral:rRNA from 1 species